rnacentral:rRNA from 1 species
UACGUAGGAGGCAAGCGUUGUCCGGAAUUACUGGGCGUAAAGCGCGUGUAGGUGGUGGGACAAGUCUGCUGUGAAAGCGCCUGGCUUAACCGGGCGAGGUCGGCGGAAACUGUCCGACUCGAGGACGGUAGAGGGGGGUGGAAUUCCCGGUGUAGUGGUGAAAUGCGUAGAGAUCGGGAGGAACACCUGUGGCGAAGGCGGCCCCCUGGGCCGGCACUGACACUGAAGCGCGAAAGCGUGGGGAGCAAACGGG